rnacentral:rRNA from 1 species
AUACGUAGGGGGCAAGCGUUAUCCGGAUUUACUGGGUGUAAAGGGAGCGUAGACGGUUUGGCAAGUCUGAUGUGAAAGCCCGGGGCUCAACCGCGGGACUGCAUUGGAAACUGUCAGACUUGAGUGCAGGAGAGGUAAGUGGAAUUCCUAGUGUAGCGGUGAAAUGCGUAGAUAUUAGGAGGAACACCGGUGGCGAAGGCGGCUUACUGGACUGUAACUGGCGUUGAGGCUCGAAAGCGUGGGGGGAAAAAAGGAUUAGAUACCCUGGAAGUCCACGCCGUAAACGAUGAAUACUAGGUGUUGGGAGACAAUAGUUUCUCGGUGCCGCAGCAAACGCAAUAAGUAUUCCACCUGGGGAGUACGUUCGCAAGAAUGAAACUCAAAGGAAUUGACGGGG